rnacentral:rRNA from 1 species
GCAAGUAGAGAGGAAGGUGGGGAUGACGUCAAAUCAGCACGGCCCUUACGUCCAGGGCUACACACGUGCUACAAUGGCCGGUAACAGAGGGCAGCCACCUGGUGACAGGGAGCGAAUCCUCGAAAGCCGGUCUCAGUUCGGAUCGAAGUCUGCAACCCGACUUCGUGAAGCUGGAAUCGCUAGUAAUCGCGCAUCAGCCAUGGCGCGGUGAAUACGUUCCCGGGCCUU